rnacentral:rRNA from 1 species
CCCUUAGAUGUCCGGGGCCGCACGCGCGCUACACUGAAGGAAUCAGCGUGGCUUUCUCCCUGACCCGAAAGGGUUGGGAAACCCGUUGAAUCUCCUUCGUGAUAGGGAUUGGGGCUUGAAAUUGUUCCCCAUGAACGAGGAAUUCCCAGUAAGCGCGAGUCAUAAGCUCGCGUUGAUUACGUCCCUGCCCUUUGUACACACCGCCCGUCGCUACUACCGAUUGAAUGGCUUAGUGAGGCCUCAGGAUCCGCGCUUAAUGUGUGGAGAAUUUGGACAAACUACGUCAUUUAGAGGAAGUAAAAGUCGUAACA